UCACCUUCAGAUGGUAUCCAGUAUCUCCCCCGGCCCCCACUCCACACAUUCACUUUGGAACCUGAAACCCCCUCCCUGCCACCCCUCACCAAGCCCGUCUCAGGCACCUCUCCCUAAUUUCCCUUCCAACCCAUAGUACACGCCUCAAAAACUUCUCCAGCCUCCACCCAGUUAACUGGUUCCUUGGCUUUAGAUGCUUUUGACAUUUACACUUAUUUAUUUGUGUGCAUAUCAUUCCUGUGCGUGCAAGUGUGCCUCGGAGUGUGUGGCCAUCACAGCGCAACCUUACGGGAGCAGUUCCCUCUUCACCCUGUGUCAAGCACAGGAUCUUGUUUAUGCUAGAGAAGAGCUCUGCCAUUGAGCUUUAUCCCAGCCCUGCACUGAGGGACCCAGGGAACUGGGGGCAGGAGGACAAGCCCACCCCACGUCUCCCACAUCACUAGUGUCGGCCUCCGGCAUAGGCCUCCCCAGGCAGGGAGAAGACAGCGUCUGGACAUUACAGACGUAUGUACCAAGAGCAAGAAUGGUGACUGAAAACUUGUACUUGAGACUUGGAAAACAAUGGGAAAGGUCGUUAUUAACAUUCCCACCUGCUGGACUAUGUUAUGUCCUGCUCCCCAGUCUUAGGAGCAACAGCAGCCCCAUCCCAUUCUCAGUGCUAAUAAUCUCCAGGAAAAGUCUAGAGGCUGUGUGUGAGCCCUGGCUUCACUACUCACUAGGUCCCACUGCUUCUGAAGCAGUAAGCAUACCAUGGUCGAGUCUCAGCAGGAGCAGGAGGCUGGCUGGUCACAUUGUAUCCACACUCAGGGAGCGCACGGUGAGCAGGAAGUAAACCCAGCAACCCACUUUCUCCAGCAACUGCUCUGAGUCUCACAGCUCCCACACCCUUCUGGAACAGCAGCCCCCGCUGUGCUGCUGCGGCUCGAUGGUGGACGUUUCAACCACACACACACAAAUGACAAAGACUCUUUAUGUUGCAUCUAUAUAUGUUUGCACAUACACUCACGCACGCACAUGUGUAACAAUAACAAAGAAAAUAGGCCAUCAGCUUGAGAGUGGUGGUGGGGUAUUGUGAGAGGGGUUUAAGGGAGGGUAUCUGGGAGGCAUUGGGGGGGAGUAAGGAAGGGGGAAAAGUGUGGUAAAACUAUUUCAAUUAAAAGUAUAUUUGAAACUGG